rnacentral:antisense_RNA from 1 species
UACAGCUCAAUACAAUAUUCGUAUGAAAAUAAAGAAAGAAGUGUCAUAUUAUAGUGAAUUUUGAACUUUAAAAAUUGUGAUAAAUAUAAUGUUAUCAUUUAAUCAUCAUUUACAGAAAGCCCUCCAAUAUCAUUGCUAGAUACUGUAGCAGUGCUAUUUGUGGAACAUACUGUAUGACACAAUUCUGUUUCUCCAUUAUUCGAAAGACUUUUUGGUAUCCAUAAUGAUGAUGAAUUCAUUGCCUCUCCUCUAAUAAGACGUAAGUACGAAUGAUGAGUUUCUAAAAUUACUGAAUGAGCAAACUCUGCUGAUUGAGGCUCUCCAAAAUGUCCAUACAUAUUAACCUUUGCAACAUCUUUAUUCUCAACUGCUUUAUAAAGCCCAAACCAUCUCCUAAUUCUAUCUAUAGUACCAGGGAAAUAUUUCUCAACAUCAGUAAUAUCAUUUAGCUGUGAUGCAUGUGGGUCACAAACACGAAUACAUACAACUUUCCAAUCCAAUUCAUCAUCAUCAAUUAAAGCAAGGCAACCCAAAAUUUUUACCUGUAUAAUUGUUCCACGUGGAAGAGGUCCAACUCCAAUUUCAACAGCGUCCAGUGGAUCGUUAUCACCAUGACUAAAAUCAACAUUCUCAUCUCCCUUCUUAUUUGGAUCUUCCCAUGUUUGUGGAAAAGCACCAUAGUUCCAAGGAAUUGGACCUGGAUAGGUUCUAAGUCUUUCCAGCUUUCGAUCCUGAUAUAAUGGUGUAUAUUCCUCUUUUGUAUUUAUCUCAAAUUUUUUAUUUGUUAAUUUUGGAAUCUCAAUUAUCAUAUUAUAUAAAAGAGGUGUUUCUGAAAACCAUAAUGGUACAUCAUGCCAUGGAGAAAUCUUAUAGCCAUCUUCAUUCUUAUAAAAUAAUCUAUAUUCAAUUGAAUCUUUUGUUCCAACCUCUUCUCUUGUUACAAAAACUGUCCCAAGAGUACGAAUUGUUGGUUUAGAAUGACUUUCUUCUAAUUCUUUAGAUAAGGCUUUCCAUGCUUCUUCUACAUCUACUAUUGCAGAAGCCUCAAUUGGUGGAGCUAAAGAACUUUGAGUGCGUAAUAAACUAUAUUCUGGAUAUUCCUCACUUGAUGAAGAUGCUUCAUCAUAAGUAAUACUAUUCACAUCACUACUGAAGCUCAAGCUUUUUGUCCUAUCCUCACAUUCUCCAUAAGUACUUUUUUCUAUAAUAUCCUCUUUCGAGGCAAAACCCACUCUGUAUUCAGUACUCAUUCUUACUUGAAGAUUUGUACUUUUCUUAAAAAAUUUCAAUUAUAUUUCUGAUCUAGU